UACGGUGCGUAUCUUGAAUGUCAAAACGACUCUCGGCAACGGAUAUCUCGGCUCUCGCAUCGAUGAAGAACGUAGCGAAAUGCGAUACUUGGUGUGAAUUGCAGAAUCCCGUGAACCAUCGAGUCUUUGAACGCAAGUUGCGCCCGAAGCCUUCGGGCCGAGGGCACGCCUGCCUGGGC
rnacentral:rRNA from 1 species